GGAGCGCUGACCGCUGGGUCCUGAUUGUCCAAACGCAAUUCUUGUCUCCGCUCCACCGAGAGUUGAGUCUGGACAUCAGGAGCCGGAGG
ensembl:miRNA aca-mir-219-2 aca-mir-219-2